rnacentral:misc_RNA from 1 species
GAAAAGGUGUUUUGAUAGCUACGGAGAAAAAGAGAAAGUAUAGAGAAAAAAAGCAAAACAGGGAGAUGAAAGGGGUCUCUAAUGGGAGAUCCAUUCCCUUUCUUCUCUUCUUCCUUUCGUUUUUUCAUCAAUUCAUCACAGGCUUUUCAGACGAUUCUUUAAAUCCCAGAAAUGGAACAAAAGUUGAUAGUCAUGCUGCAUCCAGCAGUAACACUGGGUCAAUUGUACUCAUUGUAUGUGUUGCCCUUGUGGCAGUAGUGCUUCUAUCAUUUUUCCUUUUCAAGUUUUGGCAAAAGAAGAAGCGUGAAGAGCAGUAUGCUCGUCUGCUAAAGUUGUUUGAAGAAGAUGAUGAGCUUGAGCUUGAGCUGGGUCUUCGGGAUUAAAUUUGUGUCAAAUGUUAACGACCAAUGUACUGAGAUGUAAGUAGUAACUUAAACCCAGAUUCUUGAUUCAAUGAUGACAAUGAGUUGGAUUGAUUCCAGAAUAUUGACAUAAAUGAAGAGAAAUCUUCAUUUCACAAUUUGUAGAAAUAUGUAUCAGUGUUAGCAGAAACAAAACUAUCAUGCAUUCUGUUCUUUGGGUACAGCGAUCAAUGGAUAACAGAUAUUGCCAAACGUCACCCUCCCAAAUGAGGAUUGUAAUUCAUCUGUCACAAUUUCACUCUGUAAUAGUUGUUAGUAGGUGUUUGCAGCUUGUUAGAUUGCUCUAAAAAUUGAGGAAUAAUUUUAAUCAAAGCUCAAAUGAGCUAGACUGUACUUCAAGUUGUGCAAAUUUGAUUUUGUACCCUCUGAUGUAUCACUAGGCCUUAAUAUAUUUUUGUUCUUUGUGUGUUAGAUUGCUCUAAAAAUU